UUCUUAUCAGUUUAAUAUCUGAUAUGUCCUCUAUCCAAAGGCAAUAUAUUAAAUGGAUUUUUGGAGUAGGGAGAUGGAAUAGGAGCUUGCUCUGUAGUCCACCUGGUAUUGUAGAACUUUUAGGAA
rnacentral:snRNA from 1 species